CUUUUAACGUUAUUUUAC
rnacentral:snRNA from 1 species